rnacentral:lncRNA from 1 species
CUAUAUAUUUUCUCUAUCUAAUAAGGGUUUUCAAAAGGAAACUUCUUGUUCUCCGCCGCUGCAUCCAGUGUUCUUCUAAGAUGUUGAAGAAGACAAGGUUCCUAACUGGCGGAUGAUUUUUAUUUUUCUCUAGGUGAUCAACACUCGAGGUCCUAUGUGGUGUGUAUCGUUGGCAAUCAACUUUUAGAAGUAAGACUCAUAACUCUGUGUCCUUUUUGUUAUACAUCUUUAUGUUCUUAUAAGAGGAUAAAUGUAGCUUUGUGUUCCUUUUGUGAAGAUGUGUUAUCAAAUUUGUCUACCUAAUGAAUAUUAUGAUUAAGCAAAGAUUUAUAUGUGAUCUCAAAGACUUUGUCAUUUCUCUGAUGCAGCCAGAACUCGAUUGGAUAAUUUAUCUUAAUAUGAUUAUGUAGAUUCAAUUGAAGAAGUUAAUCUUUUUUCACAAUUGAUUUAAGUAUUUCCUAAAGCAUGAACUGACCAUCAAGUUAAGUGAAAAUGGAUCAUGAUAAUUCUCAAAAGAGGUAAGUCACAUGUUUAUUUAAUUAUAUUUCAAAUUAUUCUCAUAAAUUUAAGAGUUUCUUGAUUGAUCUAAACUUUUUGGAGACUCAAUUAUAUCGAUCUAUAUAAUUGAAGCAUAUAUGAAGAAAUUUGACAAGUGAAAAAUAAGAAAAAUCAAUAUUAACUAUGUAGGUCAUAAAAUUAAAAAGAUAGUAUUGAAUAUUAGACAACACAAAAAAAAUGAGAUGGUAGAAGGGGAAAAAGUAUUCAAAACUGUGCUUAAAUUAUGAUUAGGGUUUCAACAAUUUGGAUAAUUAUAAAUACUUACAUUAUGAAAUAUAGUUAGACCUUUCUAUGACAAUAACUCUACAACAACAUUUUACUUUAAUAACCAAGUUUUAUUUGGAAUCAAUAUUUUCUGGUCUAAAAUUGAAAAUUAUAUUCGACUAAAUGUGAUAUUUACAAAACUAUGGUUCAUUUGGACUCUGAAACUAGGCCUCCGAAGUAUUAUAGCAACUUAUCUAGAUAGUACAAUGUAUAAUUUUCAAAAUAACAUAGUUAUUUAACUUUGCCAAAUAUCCUUUUAUUAUAGUUUGAUUUUGAGCUAUAGUUGUUGGGUAUUUGUAUCUUAAAUAAAAUCCACUCCUAAUUAUGCAUAAAGAUAAUAUUUUCAACAUAAAUAUUUUUGUAUAUCAUCAACUAAUAAAAAUCUAAGAAAUUUGUUAAUAAUAUAUAGUCUCAUAGUUUCCGCCAUUGGCAACUUAAGAAGUUUGAUAAAAGUAUUCAAGAUUUAGUACAUAACUAGUAGUAAUAUUCGUUUAUGUAAUAUAAUUUUAUAUUCUCCUUUAUAGCCAAAUUUUUAUAUGAUGAAUGUAUUGACAACCUUUAAACAUGUCAAUAAAUUUUAUUUAAACACUCAAAUUAUAGAUUAUCCCGAUUAAGCGUCUUAACAAAAACUUCUUACUCAAACUUUUGAAAAGCUUCGGCUCAUAUUCUCAAACUCUCAUUAUGUUGAUAAGUUAACCAAAUAAAAUAUGUCAUACAUCAAUCUAAAUUGGAGCAUGAGUUGGGUUGUUUGGUUACUGUGACUAAUAUAUAUAACUAAAUAAGUUCUCUAUGUAGUUGGUACUUGGGAACACGCACAGAAGCAUUUUCAACAUUUAUAUAAAAAAUGUCAAACGAAAAUACUUUAUCAUUUGUUCAGAUGUAUAGAAAUUCAAAUGUUUAACAAUUAAAAUAGUUAACAAUAGAGUGUAUAAUUAAUAGAGUACAUCUCUACGAUAAGCAUUAAAAUAAAAUAAAUGACCAAAAAAAUCAAGAUUGAUAUAGUAGUGUCAAUCAAGUGACCAAUUGAGAUAGUGUCAAUAGCAAAAGACGCACCUUUCUUUAGUGCAGAGCCGGGUUCAUGAUUGCGGAUUGCGCAGACUGACUUCUCCUAAUGGCAUAUAGAAACGUGGUAGGGGAGGUUAGCUCAGGGAAGGAAGCUAAGUAAGGGCGAGCUGAGAUAGUGUCAAUAGCAAAAGGACAUACAUCUAAGCAAGAAAAUAUUCAUAUUAAAUAAAUAUGAAGUAGAAGAACCUAAAUUCCAAAUGAACAAAUUCAAACAUUAAAAUGAUCUUCCUUAUUCUCGAAGAAUGAGAGGCAAAUAGAUUGACCAAGAAAGAUCUUUUGUUAUUCUUAUAUAUAAAAUUGUAAUUGGAUCUGCAUAUAUUUGGUAAAGCACAUAAUCUUCUACUUUGAAAAUUAUAUUUAAAAAAUGGGCAGUAUUCAAUUGGAACAUGAAACGUGAGUAAAUUGGUCUGAGUUACUUUUUGGGGCAGCGUAGAAGAAGGAGGAUCCUCAAACGCGAAAAGGAUCCAAUGAAUCUGAAAGAAUUGAACAAGGAGUUGUUUGAGGUGAAAAUCUCAUGUAGGAUUGUGUAGAGUGGCAGUAAGGGUGACUUGUCUGACAACUUUUUCACUAUCACCCCAAAAAAACAAACUUUGUCUUACGUGAAGUUGUCAAAGUACGAUUAACCUCUGAAUUUGAAAUCACUACUUAUGUUUUUGGUAUUAGCCAUAAUUCACAAGAAUAUUAUGUAGUCUUAGUAAGUAGGGGAAGGAUUAAGAAUUUGCCUGGUGAGAAAUAUCACAUGGUUCGAGGAACCCUAGAUGUUGUCGGAGUCAAAUUUUUAUCGGCCUUAUCCUCAACAACUACUGAAAAUUCUUCCACACAAACAAAUCAAAAAAUGGCAUUCAAGACAUAGUGCAUAUCACUUAAACACUAUCGUUCACAAUAUUGAAUUGUUUGUCUUUCGAAUUUAUAUUGCACUGGAAUAAAUAAUAAAGUAUUUAUAAUAAACAUUUCUAGCAUAAAUAUUGAUAAAGCUUUUGCGUGUGUUCUCAAGUGCCAAUUAUGUAAGUAAGUUAUCCUGUUAAAAUGUUAUCUUCUUUAAUUAUAUACAUUAGCCACAAUAAGCCGUAAAACCUCAUUCAAGUUUCAAUUAGGCUGAUGAGUGACAUGUUUAACGUGGUUAACUAAUUUAUAUAAUGAGAGCUUGAGAAAAUACCUUGACGUUUUUCAAAAAUUUGAAUAAGAAUUUUUUGUUUAGAUGCUCAAUCGAGAAAAGCUAUAAUCCGAUUGUCUAAAUUAAAUUUAUCGAUAAGUUUAAAGGUUGGUAAUAUAUUUCAUCUUAUAAUAGUUAAGCUAUAAUCAAUAAAGGAUAGUUAGAUAAACAUAAAUAUUGUAUGGUAUACAUUUAAAUAGAAUAUUACUCUUUAUAUACUAAAACUUUUUGAAUACUUUAAUCAAAAUUCUAGAGUUGCCAAUAACAGAAACUAUAUAUUAUAAAUAAUUUUUAAAGUCUUUAAUAGUUAAAUUAUAUAUAAAAUAAUUAUAUUAAAAAUAGGUUUUUUGCAUAAUUAGGGAAAGAAGUUUGUGUAAGAUACAAAAUAUUUUUAUAGUAUGAUUUUUGAGAUAUAAUCAGGUGGACCUUAGCUUCUGGCAAGUGAGUGUCGCAGGAGCAAUAUUGCACCUGUGAGUGUAUUCUCCUUCGGCGAGUUUGAAGCUAAAUUGAAUUAUAUUAAUUUAAUAUUUUAAAAUAGAAUUUAGAUAUUUAAAAAAUAUACAGAAAUAAUAUAAGGUGCAAUUAUUUUCAUAUCAAUAUGGUGAAAAAAACGCAUUUUAAACAUUAGUCAAAGUUUAUGUUGGUGUGUAUAUAUCAUAAAUUACAAUAAAUUAUCAUUGAAAAUAAAAUGACAAAAAUGAAUAAAAAGUAUUCAGGUUGUAUGUAUGAUGGGCAUUAUAGAAGAGAUUUAUUGUAUUCAUAACUAAUGUUUAAGAAAUAUUACUGCUAUAUGGUCAUUGGGCAAAGUGGGGGAAAUAUAAGAAUGAUAUCUUAGCCCAAGUUUACUUGUGACCCAAGAAAGUCAUAAGAAACAUUUAAAGAAGAAUAAAUCUCGUCCGUACAUCAGUUACUUGAUGGAUGUACCAGAUUAAGUCGUAACCUCUAUAAAUUGAUUUCUACCUCUACCCAUUAGGGUUAUCAUAUAUUCUCUACAUUAAUUUUCAUCGCUGACGGAUGUGGAUGAAAAUAAUGUAGAGAGUAUGUGUUAACCCUAAUGGGUGGAGGGAGGACCAAUUUAUAGAGGUAAAAAUUUUAUCUGGUACAUCCAUCAAGUAACCGAUGUACGGAUGAGAUCUAUUCAUCAUUUAAUGUUAUUUAUGAUUUUCUUGGGUUACAAGUAAACUUGGGCCAUAAGUAAGAUAUUAUUAUUACAUUUCUCCAUCUGGAAUGACCAUAUAACAUUAAUAUUGCAUAACAUUAGUUAUACGCAUAUAAUAAAUCUCUUCUAUAAUGUCCAUCAUACAUACCACAAUAUGACAAACUACUAAUGCAAGUUAUGGAGGUUUGUACAUAAUUUUAUGUUAUAUACUUCCCUCCAUAUACUACUACUACAUAAGCAACGUAUUAUACUAGAUUCAUAAGCUAUAAAACAUAUAGCAUUAUGGUCCACAAUAAUGUCUCAUACAAAGUUAUCUUGUAAUAUCUCAAAACAAUAAUGUGUACAUCAUUAUGAGAAACAAGAGAUUCAUUAAUGUAUAUCAGAAACACAUAUUUGAGCUCAGAGUCUCAAAACAUUAUAAAUAUAUCAAUCAUAAGUACAACCAAGACCUAUUCUUUGAACAUGUUCCUUAAAUGUCUUUGGGUGUAAGCCCUUUGUUAAAGGAUCUGCAAUCAUAAGAUCACUUCUAAUAUUCUCAAAUAACACUCUUUGUUUUUUAACUUCUAAAGUACUUUAAUUUCAUAUGUUUGGCACCUUUAGAGCACUUUUCGUUCUUGGAGAAGAAUAUUGUUGCAAUAUUAUAACAAUAAUUUUUUAGCAGCUUGGUAAUGGCGUCCACAACCCCAAGUCUUGAAAUAAAGUUCAACAGCCAUAAUGCAUGAAUUGUGGCUUCAUAACAUGCCAUAAAUUCUUCUUCCAAAGUGGAUGGAGCAAUGAUAGAUUUUUUAGCACACUUCCAUGAUACUGAUCAUUCAACUAAUAAGAACAAGUAACCAAAUGUGAACUUUCUAGUGUCAGCACAUCUAGAAAAAUUUGAAUCCGAAUGUACAGUAACUUCUAAGUGAUUGGAUCUCCUAUACAUGAGCAUGUAAUCCUUUGUUCCUUUAAGAUACCUCUAGACUUUCUUUGCAGCUUCCCAGUGAUCAAUUUCGGGGUUAUUUUGAUAUCUUCCUAGCAUUCCGAUUGCAAAACUAAAAUUCGAUCUUGUGCAAGUUUGAACAUACAUCAAACUUCCAACAAUAGAAGAGUGAGAAAUCGAUUUUAUUUUCUUCCAUUCUACAUCAUUCUUUGGGCAUUGCAUGAGAUUAAAUUUUUCCCCUUUUGAAUAGGAGCAAUUCCUGCUAAACAAUUGUUUAUGUUAAAUCUCUAUAGAACUCUUUCGAUCUAGCCUUUUUGAGACAGUCCCAAUAACUCUUGUGAUCUUUCACGAAAUAUUUCUAUCCAUAUAAUAUAUGAUGCCUCACCCUUAUCUUUCAUUUCAAAGUUCACAGAGAGAAAGUCUUUCAUCUCAAACAAUAUGUCUAAAUCAUUAGCAACAAGUAAAAUGUCAUCCACAUACGGGACUAAAAAUAUAAACUUACUCCACUGAUCUUUUGGUAUAUUCAACGAUCAUAGGUAAUCUUCUCAAAUUCAAAAGAUGUUAUGGUAUCAUUAAAAUAUAUAUACCACUAUCGUGAGGCUUGCUUGAGUCUAUAUGUUGGCUUCUUUAGCUUACACACCAUUUGAUCUUUUCCUUUAAUAUCGAAACCCUCUAGUUGGUUGGAAGAACCUAGUCGGUCAUUUUUGGAAAGUUUCGUGAAUCUACCAUUUUACCCUCCCGAUAUCGACCCCGAGUAUUUUAUGAUUAAGUUUGAAAAUUUAGUUUUGAACUUUGAGUUAAAAAUUGAGAAUUUGGUAGGUUUGUGAGUUUUAAAGGCUAAGUUGUUAAGGAAGUGAUUUUGGGGAUCUUUUGGAGUUUCAAGUGUCGAAAUAGAAUUCUGUUGAUUUCAUCAAUCACAAAAUGUGGAAUCUGAGCAGAGGGAGUUGUCGAUUUCAAUUUUUGAGUUUUUUUAAGGAUUUGAGGUCUUUAGUUGUGAAAUUGUGGAAAUUUAGCCUUUUGGUUGAUUUUAGACAAUAUUUAGGGUUCGAAUGCUUGGAUCAAAAUUCCAAGAGUUCCGUUGGAUUUGGGGAUGAUUUUAGGCCUAGGUGAGGUCUUGGUUGAUUUUUGAGAGAUUCCGAGCUUGUUUUAGCCUUUUUAGGCGUGAGUUUGUUUCUUGUGGUUUUUACGGAUGUCAGGUCAAGAAAACCUCGGAAUCAUGUUUUGAGAGUUCCAUUAAGUCUGUAACAUCGAGUAUAAUUGAUUUGCAUAUCUAAUUUGUGUGUACGGAGUUCCGAACGAAUUCCGAGUGUCCUUUCGAUGUUUUGGGAGUUGGUUGUGUUUUCUGAUGCAGCAGGCCUCGCUUUUGCGAAGGUCCUGUUGCUUAAACAACCUCCUCUUAAGUGAAGGACAUGUCGCUUAAGCGAGCUUCGCUUUUGCAAAGGGGUCUUUGCUUUUGCGAUGCUCGUGCUUAAGCGAGCUUCGCUUUUGCGAAGGGGUCUCCGCUUAAGUAAAGGACAUGUCGCUUAAUGAUCUUUCCUCAAUUAGUGUAGAAUUCACAUUAUCUGUCUUUUAUCAAAACUUUAUUGUGUGCUUAUUAGGAGGAGGGGUAGGGGUGGGAGUGGGGGAUAAAUCACAAAUUUUAAAAGUAUUAAUUUCUUUUUUGAAUUUUGUACACUAUCAAACAUAGUCACAUGAUGGACAAGUACAUUCUAAUAGGAAAAUGAUUGAACAUACAGUACCAUCUCCAUAAUUCUGAUUUUAUCAUUGAUGAAUUGAAAAUAAAGGCAAAAAAAAAUAAUCUUACAUCUUUGAAAUUAUGUUGGCUCCUUCUACAUUUUUAAAAGUCAUCUUGUAGACAAUUUUUUGAAAUUUUUCCAUUGCCAAUGGAGGCAAACUUAUUGCUACUAAAAUACCCUUUUCUCCCUUUUCAUUAUUAACAGGAAUUCCAAUGCUAAUGUAAGAUAUAG